GACGAACGCUGACGGCGUGCUUAACACAUGCAAGUCGAAGGGAGUGGCGAACGUGUGAGUAACACGUGAGUCACCUGCCCUUUUCUUUGGGAUAAGACUGGGAAACUGGGUCUAAUACUUGAUGGAUUGGGAUGGGCUCGCUGCUUUUUAGCGUGUUGGUGGGGUUAUGGCUUAGCAAUGCUUUGACGGGUGGCCGGCCUGAGAGGGUAGUCGGGCACACUGGGACGGAGAUACGGCCCAGGCUACUACGGGGGGGAGCAGUGGGGGAUAUUGCACAAUGGACGAAAGUCUGAUGCAGCGACGUCGAGUAGGGGAUGAAGGCCUUCGGGUUGUAAACUCCUUUCGCCCGCGGAAUGGUAGUGGGUAAAGAAGCGCCGGCUAACUACGUGCCAGCAGCCGCGGUAAUAC
rnacentral:rRNA from 1 species